rnacentral:rRNA from 1 species
CUGGCGGCGUGCCUAAUACAUGCAAGUCGUAGCGGAUUGAUGGGAGCUUGCUCCCUGAUUAUCAGCGGCGGAACGGGUGAGUAACACGUGGGUAACCUGCCUGCUAAGACUGGGGAUAACUCCGGGAAACCGGGGCUAAUACCGGAUAACUCAUUUCCUCGCAUAGGAAAUGUUGAAAGGUGGCUUUUAGCUACCACUUACAGAUGGACCCGCGGCGCAUUAGCUAGUUGGUGAGGUAACGGCUCACCAAGGCGACGAUGCGUAGCCGACCUGAGAGGGUGAUCGGCCACACUGGGACUGAGACACGGCCCAGACUCCUACGGGAGGCAGCAGUAGGGAAUCUUCCGCAAUGGACGAAAGUCUGACGGAGCAACGCCGCGUGAGUGAUGAAGGUUUUCGGAUCGUAAAGCUCUGUUGUUAGGGAAGAACAAGUGCCGUUCGAAUAGGGCGGCACCUUGACGGUACCUAACCAGAAAGCCACGGCUAACUACGUGCCAGCAGCCGCGGUAAUACGUA